CACGCAGUAAACGAUGAUUACUAGGAGUUUGCGAUAGACAGUAAGCUCCCGAGCGAAAGCGUUAAGUAAUCCACCUGGGGAGUACGCCGGCAACGGUGAAACUCAAAGGAAUUGACGGGGGCCCGCACAAGCGGAGGAACAUGUGGUUUAAUUCGAUGAUACGCGAGGAACCUUACCCGGGCUCAAACGGAAGAGGAGCGUGCGUGAAAGCGUGCGGUCCGCAAGGACCUCUUCCGAGGUGC
rnacentral:rRNA from 1 species